GACGAACGCUGGCGGCGUGCUUAACACAUGCAAGUCGAACGGGAAGGCCCUGCUUUUGUGGGGUGCUCGAGGGGCGAACGGGUGAGUAACACGUGAGUCACCUGCCCUGGACUUUGGGAUAACUUCAGGAAACUGCGGCUAAUACCGGAUAGGCGCUCCGGCUGCAUGGUGGGGGUUGGAAAGUUUCGGCGGUUGGGGAUGGACUCGCGGCUUAUCAGCUUGUUGGUGGGGUAGUGGCUUACCAAGGCUUUGACGGGUAGCCGGCCUGGGAGGGUCACGGGGCACAUUGGGACUGAGAUAAGGCCCAGAGGCCUACGGGGGGAAGCAGUGGGGAAUAUUGCAGAAUGGGUGGAAGCCUGAUGCAGCAAGGCGGCGGGCGGGAUGACGGCCGUCGGGUUGUAAACCGGUUACGCCUGUGACGAAGCGGGAGAGAAGGGAAUGGAUGAAGAAGCACCGGCUAACUACGUG
rnacentral:rRNA from 1 species